rnacentral:rRNA from 1 species
CCUACGGGUGGCAGCAGUGAGGAAUAUUGGUCAAUGGACGAGAGUCUGAACCAGCCAAGUAGCGUGAAGGAUGACUGCCCUAUGGGUUGUAAACUUCUUUUAUAAAGGAAUAAAACGAGGCACGUGUGCCUUUUUGCAUGUACUUUAUGAAUAAGGAUCGGCUAACUCCGUGCCAGCAGCCGCGGUAAUACGGAGGAUCCGAGCGUUAUCCGGAUUUAGUGGGUUUAAAGGGAGCGUAGAUGGGUUGUUAAGUCAGUUGUGAAAGUUUGCGGCUCAACCGUAAAAUUGCAAUUGAUACUGGCAGUCUUGAGUACAGUUGAGGUAGGCGGAAUUCGUGGUGUAGCGGUGAAAUGCUUAGAUAUCACGAAGAACCCCGAUUGCGAAGGCAGCUUACUAAACUGUGACUGACAUUGAUGCUCGAAAGCGUGGGUAGCAAACAGGAUUAGAUACCCUUGUAGUC